UACGUAGGGAGCAAGCGUUGUCCGGAAUCAUUGGGCGUAAAGAGCUCGUAGGCGGUCUGUUGCGUCCGCUGUGAAAACUCGGGGCUUAACCCCGAGCCUGCAGUGGAUACGGGCAGACUAGAGGUAGGUAGGGGAGAAUGGAAUUCCCGGUGUAGCGGUGAAAUGCGUAGAUAUCAGGAGGAACACCUGUGGUGUAGACAGCUUACUGGACCACUUCUGACGCUGAGACACGAAAGCGUGGGUAGUAAACAGG
rnacentral:rRNA from 1 species